rnacentral:rRNA from 1 species
CCUACGUGAGGCAGCAGUGAGGAAUAUUGGUCAAUGGGCGCGAGCCUGAACCAGCCAAGCAGCGUGAAGGAUGACUGCCCUACGGGUUGUAAACUUCUUUUAUAAAGGAAUAAAGUGAGGCACGUGUGCCUUUUUGUAUGUACUUUAUGAAUAAGGAUCGGCUAACUCCGUGCCAGCAGCCGCGGUAAUACGGAGGAUCCGAGCGUUAUCCGGAUUUAUUGGGUUUAAAGGGAGCGUAGAUGGGUUGUUAAGUCAGUUGUGAAAGUUUGCGGCUCAACCGUAAAAUUGCAAUUGAUACUGGCAGUCUUGAGUACAGUUGGGGUCGGCGGAAUUCGUGGUGUAGCGGUGAAAUGCUUAGAUAUCACGAAGAACUCCGAUUGCGAAGGCAGCUUACUAAACUGCCACUGACAUUGAUGCUCGAAAGUGUGGGUAUCAAACAGGAUUAGAUACCCCAGUAGUC